UGCACCAGCUCAGCAUAAUGUUGCUUUCUCCCAAACAAGACCAGACUGUUUCCUAUCCCAAAGACAACACGGUCCGGCUCGAACCUACACACAGACCCAUUCUCACAUAGGCCGUCUCUCCGUGUCGGCGUGUCUCUCCCGCUUUCUGGCACCGACGCUCACACCAACAAGAGAGGAGGAGCGCGACAAGGCCGCGGAUUGUGAAGAUUGUGGCUGCCUCGUCGUAACUAGGCCAUUGUUUCUCCACCGAAUGUGGAGAGAUAUUCUAGGCUGAGAUGUUAUUAGUGUAACCCAGUUUGCCCAUCACCAGGUGACUGCAGGAGGAGAGACAGUAAUGAUUCUGCAUUUCUGAAUCAUUUGAAGACACUCAGAGAUUCCUGAAUCACUGAAGCUCAAGGUUUCCAGACAGGAGAUGUCAAAUUCUUAAAGAUUCAAUUCAAUUCAAAAU